rnacentral:misc_RNA from 1 species
CUUGCUAUGUUUGGCUUCAACUGUACGAUAUCCAGCACUUCAACUGCUUCCCUUGCAAAUGGCUUCUAACGCUGACCAAAGCGACUGUGCUGGCGCCCCUUCGUUGAAGUUGUCGACUUUGAAACGCUUGAGGGAAGUUAUUAGGCAACGAAGCGGCAAGAACGACGCACGCGAGCGUGGCUGCUCGAAUACCGAGGUGUCAACAUAUCUUCCGAUAAUACAGAAACUGCGAUGUCACCAAGUGCAAGACAUCCCUCCAGAUCUCAAGUGGCGUCCCGCCUCGGUGUUCUAGUGGCUAAGAUACUCGGCUGCUGAUCCGCAGGUCGCGAGAUCGAAUCUCGGCUGCGGCGGCUGCAUUUCCGGUGGAGGGAGAAAUGUUGAUGAGUUCUUGAUUCCUGACGACUCCGAGAUGUGCGCAUAUUCAAAGUCGCUGCCAGCUGAGUGCAACCUGAGCACGGACGCGUUGCAAGAUGCAGGGCGAGGUGAACACUUUUGCACCGAGGAGCAGCAAGAACCCAAUGCGCCUGUCAAGAACGAAGGAGUAGCCUUGGAAGCGUCCAUCGAGGACUUCAUGCAGGUGGAGCUGAAGGAAGGGCCCGCCAUGGAGUUGCCUGUCCAGAGACUCGAACUACCCAGCCACGAAGAAAACCCUCUCCUGCUUUGCAGUUUGUGCCCUUUUGCGACGCGUUACCCGAGUACGCUGAAGGAUCACGAGGAAUCCCACACGUGGAAGAAAGUGAAGUGCGACCUUUGCCCGAAGACAUUUGCAACGCAGCGUAUGCUGCAGAAGCACAUGUGUAGUAGCCACACUGGCAAGAAACCCUUCAAGUGCGACCAGUGCCCGUACACGACGCUCAUGGAGUACUAUCUGGAGAGACACAAGAUCGAACAUCUCGAUGUGAAUGUCUUUUUGUGGAGUGAAGAAAGUGCAUUCGACUAUCGUAAGAGGCAGUGGGCAUGCAAGCAUUGGACACGAGAGAAAGUUAGGACAACACAAGUGCUAACAGAAAAAGCGUGAACUAGCAAAGAGAAAAAAAAAGCACGUACAAAUUCUUGUCUGUGCACGCCCAGGCAAGAGCGACAACUGUUCAUUGCUUUGGCAAGCGCAGAUGUGCAUUUCUGUCUACCUUCUUUUUCACUGCGGUGCACCGUAUCAGUUAAUAGUGUUUAUCAGCAUUUGUAUUGCUCAGAUUUCUGUGUUUCAUCAAAUGUUUGCCCACUGGUUGUAUCUUGUAUUUUACUAUGAAUACAUCGUCUUGGCUUACUGUCAUGUUAUGUUCGACUAUAGUGGUGGGGACUGGAUUGAGAAAACUAGUUGCCCUGUGCAGUUCAGAAGGAAUAACUGUUUUAAAGCAUCACAACAAUUAACAAUCAUGCAAAACUCUGACUUCUUGUAUUAACAUGCAUUUUCUUCAGUUUAAUAAAAUGAGUUGCCCUAGUGUUUCGCUUCUUCCAGUCAGGCGUGUAAGUGCUGUACCAAUUACGCCACGCCGCGCUAAACCGCUUCUGCCACGCCAUUCUGCUCCAAAACUUAUCAUUUCGCCGAUGCUUUUCCCACGCUGUGUUUGAUGCCUUCAUGUGCCGUCAUUCGGGAUCAAGCCAGCUCCCAUUAUUGUCACCGACGUGCACACAAAAACGGUGGCGUAGGCUCGAGACACUCGCAGUUACGCCGCAAAGACGAAGCAGUCAAUGCUAUAGCAGCGAACCGGAAUGUUAUACGAAGUGAGGCUAUCAGUGAACUCUUUUUGACCCGAUCUCGCUUAACUCUGAAAAACGCUGUGUGUGUGUGUUAUUACUGGCGACUCCAUGGAGCGAAUCAAUUCUCGCGCUUUCUAAUUUCAAAGCGCAGUAAGCGGGCCCUUUGCUUAUGUCUACCGAAAUAGCAUGCACCUUAGCGACAGCGGCCGGUCCCUUAUGAGCGGAGUUCCAAGUUGCGACUCGAACGACACAGUCUCCGCCCACGCUUCUUCGCCCGACGAUAGACAGGCGAGUCUUCUGCUCCCUGCCUGAGGGGCCAUCAACAGCAUGCCUUGCACAUGGGUGACAUUACCGUAUGCGCCUUUAAUGCAAUGGAAAUGGCCGGCUCAUUUUAUCUCUGCCUCGGCCGCAAUCUUCACGAGCACAAGCUUGAUAAUUUGGAUGCUUUCAGGAACUGCCACAAGCCUUAUAGAACUAACGUGUGACAUCUAAAGUUGUGGUCGUUGAAACACUGACAAGUUUAAACAUUUUAUUCAAGUUAUGUGUUCGAAAAUGCAGUAAUUAAAGCCACCACCACCCUCGCGCCCUAGCGCGUUUUUAAAGUCAGUUUUCCCGCAAUUCUGUAGUUUAGUGCAGCAAAGCAUGUUGCAAAUCGAAAGGGACAUUGAGGUUGUGGGCAGGUGUUCAGUAGCUUGAAAUUCUGGUUUUUUUUUUUCAUUAUCUUUCAGUGCAAGCACCCAACAGCCAGUAUUUAUUGUUGUUACCGAUAAUGCAGCAUUGCUCUAAGUGGGUAAUUUUACUUGUGAAAAACAUACAAAAGUUGAUGGUGCAGCAUCUUCUCAUUAGUAUAACUUAUAUAUUGAUAAAACUGGUAUUGCUAUAUGUGCUUGCUUUAUCAGCAUUCAAUGUUUUUAAAUAUUUACUAAAAAAUUGUUCACCUAUCUGCGUGCUUUGCUGUAAAUGUCGUCGAAAGGCCUUCUUUUCUGCAUAGCAUUGCAUUUUCAGCGCAGCCUGAAGAAUACCAGGGUCUUUAGAAUGACGUGUUUAUGUAUUUUUCAGUAAAGGAGCGCACCACCUAGUACUAAAGUAUUGAUUUUGUGUCUCAGAUAUGCAUAAUGUUUGCUUUUACAGUGAAAUUUAAACUGUUAUGAGAUCACAACUCUGGUCUUGCGCUGCCCUGUAGUUGUCUGCCGUCGCCAAUGUCCGUAACCACAUCGCAUGAAAUCAGAAAAAAAAAAAAAAAACUUGCAGUACCAAUGACACAGCGAGGCUCGAAUCCGGGUCCUCUCAGUGGCAGGCCAGUAUUCUACCACUGAGCCCCGCCGUUGCUUGGGACUUGCUGGCAAACUUGCCUUAGUCAGGCUUGAUGGGGGAAAAGCAAUUGUGUUACUACGACUUAUAAAGUGUUUUAAGACGGGGAAAAAACAAGCAGUCGUCACACAAUGCGAAUAGCGUAACGACUGGGUCGUCUUAUGUUAGAACCAAUUGCAAAACCUUGUUUUUGUAACUGUGGCGCAUACCCACUUCAGGCAUAAUUCCUCAUCGUCCUCAGCCACUGUAUGAACAAUUAGCACAAAAUUUCUUGUAAUUGUUAAACUGCGUAACAAAAAUAGCAUAGGCAAUGCCAGCCUACUACCCUGAAAUUUUUAUUAUUAAUGCCGUAGUGGGCAUCAGGCAAGUGUGUUUGCAGCAGUUAUCCAAUGAAUGUUUAAAAAGGCUCUGAAUGUCCGUUCUUCUAGCUUUCACUGUGAUUGUGCGCCGCCUUCCGCGCAGGCCUGGCAUUUGCAGCCACCAGUUCAACAUGGCUGGGCGAUCAGCAAGUGCUUAAACUUCGGCCGAGUGGCUGAAUCGUGUGGCAGACAAAUUUCUGCAUUCAAGUAUCCCAAGAAAGACUGACAUCUUCAAAACCACUGGAACCUCGAGCUUCCCAGAAAUAAAUGCAGUUAAAAUUACUGGUAUCUGGACUCGUAAAUAUAUUCCGAAACUAAUUUGCAUUGCUCCCAAACACUCCCUUUGAUAAGCCUAGGCUGUUCUGAAACACGCUUUUUGAUGCUUCACACCUGCUCCAAAAACAGCAUUAUUCCUGCUCCCUGAGGGGCUCCAGCUUCCACCCCUGCCUCCAGUUUUAUAUAUUUGUUUUGAAAAUGGCAUUCCAGUUUUUCUUGUGCUUUUUUCCUGCUUUUUUCAUUUUUUCAGAGGAUGUGUACAUUAGGUACAUCCAAGAAAUGUGUGUGCAUUGUUCUGUUUCCUGCUAAAUAUUUUUAGAGGAAAUGUUCUGCUGUUUUAGUUGGUGAAUUUUCUUUCACUUUUAUCAAGCAUGUCGUUGCCUGUCUUGUUUAUAUUAAUGAUAUUGUGAUCAUUGUGUACAGUGCCAUUACUUUUUAUCACGUUUUUUUUUUUGGCGAUAUCAGUACAUCAUUAUGCAUUGUAUAUGGAGCCCACGAAGUAUCUGGGCUAAUAAACAUUUUUUUAUGUAGA